UGACGUGAUGAGGAAUCGGGGAGCUGAAGCUAUGAUGAGAUCCGCCAACGCUGAUU
rnacentral:ncRNA from 14 species